rnacentral:lncRNA from 10 species
CAACUAUACUAAUCAGCAACUUGUCAGCCUCUAAUACAUGUUUCUGCUUAUCCCUGAACAACUCAUCCUGACUCAUCCCACAACUGCUCACGAUUCAGUCUGAACAUGUCUCACUCAGCCAUGACACCCAGGAGACAGGGCCUUCAAGCUUGAUUCUGUAUUCCCCUUCCCCUGAUACGAUCACAUGUAAUAGAUGCAUGUGAAGCUAUGGGAAGAAAUGAGGUGGUUGAGAACAAGAGUGAAUGGUGAGAAGGAACCAGGACUGACCCCUGUAGGACACUAACAGUCAGAGGCCAGAGACAGGAGGCACAGUCAGCAAGGGAAGCCAAGAAGAAGUGAUGAAAGAAGUAGACAGAAAAUCAGGAGAACAGGACUCAGAAGUCAAGAGACAAAAGUGCUUCAGCCUGGAGGGGGAGGCCAGCAGGAUCAAAUGCUGCUGAGAGAAUUCACAUAUGAAGCUGACUAAAAGAUACACAAUGGACUUGGCAACAGAAAGAUCAUUGGUGACUUUAGCAAACUUCCGUGUCCAUGAUCAGCUCUGUUCUCCUGGAAACCUGAUAAAGGUGGAACGUUGGCUGUGUUACCAAGCAACAAUGCUUGUGGUAAAAAUGAUCCACUUCAUCUGGACAGCGAGGGCCGUGAAUGAAUCAUAAGUACCUGGUGGGAAGCUGUGGCUCUGGAGUUCUGAAUCUUGACUCUUGGAGCUCGGCACGCCCCUUGAGGAGACAAGGAAGCUAUUCCCAUGAGACUCUUACUAGAAAUAUCAGUUUCUCAUUGGAAUAAGGCUUUAAUUUGCUAUGUAUGUGACAUUUCAGUUUACCUGGGUAUCCUGUAUUUUAUCUGGCAACCCUACUUGAGGAAAAGGAGCUAGAGAGACACCUGCCAUCAUGCAGUUGGAGUGCUGUUUCAUGCCUUUGCAUCCUUAUUCUAAAUUAAGUUAGACCAGGCACGGUGGCUCACGCCUAUAAUCCCAGCAUUUUGGGAGGCUGAGGCGGGUAGAUCACCUGAGAUCAGGAGUUCGAGAUCAGCCUGGCCAACAUGAUGAAACCCUGUCUCUACUAAAAAUACAAAAAAUCAGCCGGGUGUGGUGGCGGACUCCUGUAAUCCCAGAUGUUCGGGAGGCUGAGGCAAGAGAAUCUCUCAAAUACGGGAGGUGAAGUUUGCAGUGAGCCGAGAUUCACCAUUGCACUCCAGCCUGGGCAACAAGAACAAAACUCCAUCUCAAAAUAAAUAGUUAGUGCCAAGCAUGUCAUGCUGUAGUCAUGCGAGUCUAAGUGUCUAACAGACCCUGAGAAGAACUCCAAAGUGGGCAUCGUAACCUAGCAACAGUGACCAUCCUAGGAAGAAUAGCACCCCAGGAACCCAGAUUAUGUUCUGUAAGUACUAUUCUCCACGGAAAGGAAACAGCUCAUUCUAGUCUGGGGCAGCAAAGGUACGGGAUGAACCUGGAACAUCCUGUCAUACCAGAAAGCGAGGAACAUAUUGAAGACCACUGUGCUCAUAUCAGAGGACUCAGGCACUUGCCUGGAGAGGCUGAGCUUUGCUCAUAGGAAGAGAUGGGGAGUGAGUGUGGGUAGACAUGUAACAAGAUUGGCUGUUAGUUGAUGAUGAUUUAAGCUGGGUGAUGGGUAUGUGAGGGAGUCACUAUGUUAUUUUCUCUAAAUUUGCAUUUUUGAAAUUGUUCAUAAAAAAAGUCUAAAAAUAUUAAAAGAAAAAGUGACUAUACCAAUUUCCAUUCCCUCCAGCAGAGGUGUAGAAUCAUAAUGGUAAUUUUAGAUGGCGACAUGAAGUAUUGAGUCAUUUAUACAGCCUAUUAUAAAUAUUUAAAUAUAUAUACAUAUAUAUAUUUAAAUUUAGACAGAGUCUUGCUCUGUCACCCAGGCUGGAG